GUCCAGGGAUGGGAAUCGAACCCACAUUGUUCCGCUUACUGGGCAGAUGCCAUGUCCACUAGGCUACCCUGGA